rnacentral:rRNA from 1 species
GAUGAACGCUAGCUACAGGCUUAACACAUGCAAGUCGAGGGGCAGCGCAGUGUAGCAAUACAUGGGCGGCGACCGGCGCACGGGUGCGUAACGCGUAUCCAACCUUCCCGGUUACUCAGGGAUAGCCUUCCGAAAGGGAGAUUAAUACCUGAUGGUGUUGAAAUUCCGCAUGUUAUUUCAACUAAAGAUUUAUCGGUAACGGAUGGGGAUGCGUGACAUUAGAUAGUAGGCGGGGUAACGGCCCACCUAGUCUACGAUGUCUAGGGGUUCUGAGAGGAAGGUCCCCCACACUGGAACUGAGACACGGUCCAGACUCCUACGGGAGGCAGCAGUGAGGAAUAUUGGUCAAUGGUCGGAAGACUGAACCAGCCAAGUAGCGUGAAGGAUGAAGGUUCUAUGGAUUGUAAACUUCUUUUUAUACGGGAAUAAAACCUCCCACGUGUGGGAGCUUGUAUGUACCGUAUGAAUAAGCAUCGGCUAACUCCGUG